ACCUGGAUAGCUCAGUCGGUAAAGCAUGAGACUCAUAAUCUCAGGGUUGUGGGUUUGAACCCUAUACUGGGUU